rnacentral:rRNA from 1 species
UUCCGGUUGAUCCCGCCGGACCCGACUGCUAUCGGGGUGAGACUAAGCCAUGCGAGUCGUGCGCCCUCGGGUAUGCGAGGGCGCGGCGCACGGCUCAGUAACACGUAGCUAACCUACCCUGAGGAGGGGGAUACCCCCGGGAAACUGGGGUUAAUCCCCCAUAGGUCUGGAUACCUGGAAUGGGUUCAGGCCAAAAUGGAUCUGCGCGCAUCCUGCACAGGUCCGCCUCAGGAUGGGGCUGCGGCCCAUCAGGUAGUUGGCGGGGUAAAGGCCCACCAAGCCGAUAACGGGUGCGGGCUCUGGAAGGAGGAGCCCGGAGAUGGGCACUGAGACAAGGGCCCAGGCCCUACGGGGUGCAGCAGGCGCGAAAACUCCGCAAUGCGGGAAACCGUGACGGGGCCACCCCGAGUGUCGCCCGAAGAGGGCGACUUUUGCCCGGUGCAAAAAGCCGGGCGAAUAAGCGGGGGGCAAGUCUGGUGUCAGCCGCCGCGGUAAAACCAGC